GACGAACGCUGGCGGCGUGCUUAACACAUGCAAGUCGAACGGAAAGGCCCUGCUUUUGUCGGGUGCUCGAGUGGCGAACGGGUGAGUAACACGUGAGUAACCUGCCCUUGACUUUGGGAUAACUUCAGGAGACUGGGGCUAAUACCGGCUAGGUGCUGCUGCUGCAGGGUGGGGGUUGGACAGUUUCGGCGGUUGGGGAUGGACUCGCGGCUUAUCAGCUUGUUGGUGGGGUAGUGGCUUACCAAGGCUUUGACGGGUAGCCGGCCUGAGAGGGUGACCGGCCACAGUGGGACUGAGAUACGGCCCAGACUCCUACGGGAGGCAGCAGUGGGGAAUAUUGCACAAUGGGCGGAAGCCUGAUGCAGCAACGCCGCGUGCGGGAUGACGGCCUUCGGGUUGUAAACCGCUUUCGCCUGUGACGAAGCGUGAGUGACGGUAAUGGGUAAAGAAGCACCGGCUAACUACGUG
rnacentral:rRNA from 1 species